rnacentral:rRNA from 1 species
UGACCUCAAAUCAGGUAGGACUACCCGCUGAACUUAAGCAUAUCAAUAAGCGGAGGAAAAGAAACUAACAAGGAUUCCCCUAGUAACUGCGAGUGAAGCGGGAAAAGCUCAAAUUUAAAAUCUGGCGGUCUUAUGGCUGUCCGAGUUGUAAUCUAGAGAAGUGUUAUCCGCGCUGGACCGUGUACAAGUCUCCUGGAAUGGAGCAUCAUAGAGGGUGAGAAUCCCGUCUUUGACAUGGACUGCCAGGGCUUUGUGAUGCGCUCUCAAAGAGUCGAGUUGUUUGGGAAUGCAGCUCAAAAUGGGUGGUAAAUUCCAUCUAAAGCUAAAUAUUGGCGAGAGACCGAUAGCGAACAAGUACCGUGAGGGAAAGAUGAAAAGAACUUUGGAAAGAGAGUUAAACAGUACGUGAAAUUGCUGAAAGGGAAACGCUUGAAGUCAGUCAUGUCAUCCAGGGAUCAACCUUGCUUUUGCUUGGUGCACUUUCUGGUUUGACGGGUCAGCAUCAAUUUUGACCAUUGGAAAAAGGUUGAGGGAAUGUGGCAUCUUUGGAUGUGUUAUAGCCCUUGGUCGUAUACAAUGGUUGGUAUUGAGGAACUCAGCACGCCGCAAGGCCGGGUUUUUAACCACGUACGUGCUUAGGAU